UAGCCAUGCAUGUCUAAGUACAUGCCGUAUUAAGGCGAAACCGCGAAUGGCUCAUUAAAUCAGUCAUGGUUCCUUGGAUCGUACCUUACUACUUGGAUAACUGUGGCAAUUCUAGAGCUAAUACAUGCAGCAGAGCUCCGACCUUCGGGGACGAGCGCUUUUAUUAGACCAAAACCAAUCGGACCUCGUGUCCGUCCUUUGUGGUGACUCUGUAUAACUUUGGGCUGAUCGCACGGGCCUGUCCCGGCGACGUAUCUUUCAAGUGUCUGCCUUAUCAACUUUCGAUGGUAGGUUACGCGCCUACCAUGGUCGUAACGGGUAACGGGGAAUCAGGGUUCGAUUCCGGAGAGGGAGCCUGAGAAACGGCUACCACAUCCAAGGAAGGCAGCAGGCGCGCAAAUUACCCACUCCCAGAACGGGGAGGUAGUGACGAAAAAUAACAAUACGGGACUCUUUUGAGACCCCGUAAUUGGAAUGAGUACACUCUAAAUCCUUUAACGAGGAUCCAUUGGAGGGUAAGUCUGGUGCCAGCAACCGCGGUAAUUCCAGCUCCAAUAGCGUAUAUUAAAGUUGUUGCGGUUAAAAAGCUCGUAGUUGGAUCUCAGUUCCAGACGGGUGGUCCGCCUACCGGUGGUUACUGCCUGUUCUGAACAGUCAGCCGGUUUCUCUUGAUGAUCUUCACCGGUUGUCUUGGGUGACCGGCAAGUUUACUUUGAAAAAAUUAGAGUGCUCAAAGCAGGCGUGACGCCUGAAUAAUGGUGCAUGGAAUAAUGGAAUAGGACCUCGGUUCUAUUUUGUUGGUUUUCGGAACACGAGGUAAUGAUUAAGAGGGACAGACGGGGGCAUUCGUAUUGCGACGCUAGAGGUGAAAUUCUUGGACCGUCGCAAGACGAACUACUGCGAAAGCAUUUGCCAAGAAUGUUUCCAUUAAUCAAGAACGAAAGUUAGAGGUUCGAAGGCGAUCAGAUACCGCCCUAG
rnacentral:rRNA from 1 species